GUCUAUAGCCAUACCACCCCGAACGCAUCUGAUCUCAGAAGCUAAGCAGGAUUGGGGCUGGUUAUUACUUGGCCGGGAGAAGGUUUUGCUUUACU
ensembl:rRNA 5S_rRNA 5S ribosomal RNA